AUGUACCCACGUACAUUCCGGUUCCUCCGCGCCGUCCGCACCCACCUGACGACUGCUCGCCACGUUUUGUUAGCC
rnacentral:sRNA from 2 species